GAUGAACGCUGGCGGCGUGCCUAAUACAUGCAAGUCGAGCGAACAGACGAGAGUGCUUGCACUCUCUGACGUUAGCGGCGGACGGGUGAGUAACACGUGGGUAACCUACCUAUAAGACUGGGAUAACUUCGGGAAACCGGAGCUAAUACCGGAUAAUAUUUAGCUUCGCAUGAAGCAAUAGUGAAAGACGGUUCUGCUGUCACUUAUAGAUGGACCCGCGGUGUAUUAGCUAGUUGGUGAGGUAACGGCUCACCAAGGCAACGAUACAUAGCCGACCUGAGAGGGUGAUCGGCCACACUGGGACUGAGACACGGCCCAGACUCCUACGGGAGGCAGCAGUAGGGAAUCUUCCGCAAUGGACGAAAGUCUGACGGAGCAAUGCCGCGUGAGUGAAGAAGGUUUUCGGAUCGUAAAACUCUGUUGUAAGGGAAGAACAAGUACGUUAGUAACUGAACGUACCUUGACGGUACCUGACCAGAAAGCCACGGCUAACUACGUG
rnacentral:rRNA from 1 species